UACGAAGGGGGCUAGCGUUGUUCGGAAUUACUGGGCGUAAAGGGCGCGUAGGCGGCGCCGGAAGUCAGGCGUGAAAGCCCCGGGCUCAACCUGGGAGGUGCGCUUGGGACUCUGGUGCUGGAGUUCGGGAGAGGAGAGUGGAAUUCCCAGUGUAGAGGUGAAAUUCGUAGAUAUUGGGAAGAACACCGGUGGCGAAGGCGGCUCUCUGGACCGAGACUGACGCUGAGGCGCGAAAGCGUGGGGAGCAAACAGG
rnacentral:rRNA from 1 species